AUGGAGAGGGGCUGGAGAUCAGGGGCGCUGUCGGAGACGGCGUCCUGCGCCGACACGCCCAGGUCCGCCCACUCCUCCUGCAAUCUCCAGCAACGCCACUCGCAGAGUGUGCUGAGGACACGUGAGGCUGCAGUGGACAUGUCGCCGCGAUUCUCCUACUGCAAACCUACCAUCAACCGGGACAGCAAAAUGCUCCACAGAAGGCACUCGCUUAACUUGCCAGAGCAGUCGUUGCCUGGCCGUCACUCCAGGAAAACAACGGAAAGAACUCAGAAGGCAACUUCAAAGUCCAUCGCAGAUUUAGCUGGGGAGAUCGCGGCCCUCGAGCAGGAAGUCAUCCGCAAGGAACUGCAUCUGCUGACCCUCUACAGAAGGGCAUUUGAUCAGCAGCUAUCCGAUUCCUGCAGUUUUGUGAGCGAGCAGGUGGAUCAAGAAGCAACUAAAAGUAUUGAUGAGGGCGCGCUCCGUCUAAGAGAUAUCAAGCAAUCUGCAGCCUUCAAUUUGCCAACUGUCUCAGAUUCUAUGAGUGAGGUAUCGUCAAGACCGGCUUCGAAGCAUUCCAGCCUAGUGAACUUCUUGAAUGCUUCUAUUUCAGACUACGUACCCAAGAUCUCUUGCAAACUAUCAGAGGACAUCCUCGGGUGCAUUGCUUCGGUCUACUGCAAACUUGCAAGCACGCCAUCUCAAGAUGCCGAGUCCGUGACUUCACCAAGUCAUUCUGUUUCAUCUUCAAGCACCUUCUCUCCGAGGCGUCGUAAUGACAGCUGGAGCCCUCGGUACACCUUUGAUGCCACCACAAGCCCUCGCCGAUAUCCAUACCAAAAAGAGAAUAGUGAGCAGAACAUAGGCAUGAUCAUUGUUCCAAGGAUACAUAUAGAUGCUGGCAAGUUUGAAUAUGCGUCAAAAAUGCUGGAGACUAUCAGGUCCCUGAUACAGCGGCUCGAAAAAAUCGAUCCAACAAAGAUGACACACGAGGAGCAGCUCUGCUUUUGGAUCAACAUCCACAAUGCUUUAGUCAUGCAUGCUUUUCUGGCCUAUGGGAUACAUGAUAAACGCCUGAAGAGCACUGACAUGAUUCUGAAGGCUGCGUACAAUGUGGGUGGUGAAUCAGUAAAUGCGCAAACUAUUCAGAACUCGAUCCUCGGAUGCCAAUCCCAUCGUCCAUCAUUGUGGGUUCGCGUGCUGUUCACACCAGCAAAAAGAUCCUUGGCAGGGUCGACGGCAAGGCACCCCUAUGCUCUUCACCAUUCCGAGCCGAUCGCACAUUUCGCGCUCUCCACAGGGACAUUUUCAGACCCACCCGUGCGGCUUUACACGGCCAAGAAGAUCCACCACCAGCUGGAGCGAGCACGGACCGAGUUCAUCCAGGCCAAUGUCGCGGUGAAGAAGCAGGCCCUCCUGCUGCCCAAGGUGCUCCACUACUAUGCCAAGGACGCGGCGCUCGAGCUGCGCCACCUCGUGGAGCUGGUGUGCGAGAGCACGUCGGAGACCCAGCGGAAGGAGAUGGCCCAGCUCCAGCACCGGCUCAGGAGAAAGAUCGACAAGUGUGUGGAGUGGCUGCCCUACAAGUCCAACUUCAGAUACGUUGUACAUAGGGAUCUGGCCGAGUAG
rnacentral:rRNA from 1 species